GAAUGGGGGGUUAUAGGGUCAAUGGGGUUAUAGGGUGAAUGGGGGGUUAAUGGGGGAUUAUUGGGAUAUAUAGGUUUGUUAUGGGGUUAAUGUGGUGUUAUGGGAUAUAUAGGUUUGCUAUGGGGUUAAUGGGGUGUUAUGGGGUUAAUAGGGUGUUAUAGGAUAUAUAGGGUUGUUAUGGGGUCAAUGGGGUGUUAUAGGGUAUAUGGGGUGGUUAUGGGGUUAUGGGGUGGUUAUGGGGUUAUGGGGUGGUUAUGGGGUUAUGGGGUGGUUAUGGGGUCUAUAGGGUUGUUAUGGGGUCUAUAGGGUUGUUAUGGGGUCUAUAGGGUGGUUAUGGGGUUGUUAUGGGGUCUAUAGGGCUGACCCCGCUCCAUGUGGCCGUUGGCUCCGGGUGCCGCGAGAUGACGGAGCUGCUGCUCAAACAUGGAGCCGACGUGGAUGCGCCGGACACCAAAAGCGGGUGCACGGCCUUAUUGAGAGCUGUGGAGAGCAACAGCCUGGACAUGGCCGAGCUGCUGCUCAGGGUGAGCACACAUUGGGGGGAAAAAGGCCCAAAUCGGUUCAUUUGGGGUAUAAAGGGGGGUUUAUUGGGGGGAGAUGGGGGGUUUGGGACCCACAUUGAGCCCCAUUGAGCCCCAUUGAUCCCCAUUGACCCCAUAGAUCCCCAUUGACCCCAUUGAUCCCCAUUGAUCCCAUUGAGCCCCAUUGAUCCCCAUUGGUCCCCAUUGACCCCAUUGAAACCCUUGUCCCCAUUGAUCCCCAUUGACCCCAUUGACUCCAUUGACUCCCAUUGACUCCCAUUGACUCCCAUUGACUCCCAUUGACUCCCAUUGACUCCAUUGACUCCCAUUGACUCCCAUUGACCCCCAUUGAUCCCCAUUGAUCCCCAUUGACCCCAUUGAUCCCCAUUGAUCCCAUUGAGCCCCAUUGAGCCCCAUUGAGCCCCACUGAGUCCCAUUGAGCCCCAUUGAGCCCCAUUGAUCCCCCAUUGACCCCAUUGACCCCAUUGAUCCCAUUGAUCCCCAUUGACCCCAUUGAUCCCUAUUGAGCCCCAUUGAACCCCAUUGAACCCCAUUGACCCCAUUGACCCCAUUGAUCCAGUUGAUCCCCAUUGACUCCAUUGAUCCCCAUUGACCCCAUAGAUCUCCGUUGAUCUAUGAUCCCAUAGGAACCCAUUGAUCCCAUAGGAACCCAUUGAUCCCAUAGGAACCCAUUGAUCCCCAUUGAUCCCAUUGAUCCCAUUGACCCCAUUGACCCCAUUGACCCCAUUGACCCCAUUGACCCCAUUGACCCCAUUGACCCCAUUGAUCCCAUUGACCCCAUUGAUCCCAUUGACCCCCAUUGAUCCCCAUUGACCCCAUUGAUCCCAUUGACCCCAUUGAUCCUAAUUGAUCCCAUUGACCCCAUUGAUCCCAUGGAUCCCCAUUGAGCCCCUUUGACCCCAUUGACCCCCAUUGACCCCAUUGACCCCAUAGACUCCAUUGACCCCACUGAUCUCAUGGAGCCCCAUUGUUUUCCAUUGAUCCUAUUGAUCCCCAUUGACCCCAUUGACCCCCAUUGACCCCAUUGAUCCCCAUUGCCCCUCAUUGACCUCCAUUGCCCCCCAUUGCCUCCCAUUGCCC
rnacentral:lncRNA from 1 species